AUUGAACGCUGGCGGCAUGCCUUACACAUGCAAGUCGAACGGUAACAGGUCUUCGGAUGCUGACGAGUGGCGAACGGGUGAGUAAUACAUCGGAACGUGCCUAGUAGUGGGGGAUAACUACUCGAAAGAGUGGCUAAUACCGCAUGAGAUCUACGGAUGAAAGCAGGGGAUCGCAAGACCUUGUGCUACUAGAGCGGCCGAUGGCAGAUAGGUAGUUGGUGGGAUAAAAGCUUACCAAGCCGACGAUCUGUAGCUGGUCUGAGAGGACGAUCAGCCACACUGGGACUGAGACACGGCCCAGACUCCUACGGGAGGCAGCAGUGGGGAAUUUUGGACAAUGGGCGCAAGCCUGAUCCAGCAAUGCCGCGUGCAGGAUGAAGGCCUUCGGGUUGUAAACUGCUUUUGUACGGAACGAAAAGCCCUGGGUUAAUACCCUGGGGUCAUGACGGUACCGUAAGAAUAAGCACCGGCUAACUACGUG
rnacentral:rRNA from 1 species